UACAUAAGGAUGUAGUGAAGAAAUGUGCAUUUCUUAUAUAGUUUGAAGAGUCUUAUUAUGAGACUACCAGCGUCUUAAUAUGCCUACCAGCAUAUCUUGGGGCUAUUGUUUACUUUAAGAUUAUACUACUAGUCACAGAGACAGGAAGUUCUUUGUUCUUCUCCACCUAUGUUCUGGGAGAAGCAAACCCCAGUCAUUCUGAAUGUCAAAGUGAUGCAGUAAGGUCCAAGUUACAUAACAUUGCAGCAGAAAGUUUUUAGUUAUUUUGUGGAACAAACUACAGGCCCAAUUCGAUUGUUAUCUGAAGGUUUACCGGAGAUAGUAAUUAACCUGAAGGUUUUACCGAAGAUAUGAAAGUGAAGUUACGAGUUGCUGAAUAAAACAGAAGUUGGUUGGACUUUA
rnacentral:lncRNA from 1 species